rnacentral:misc_RNA from 1 species
GAAAGGCAAAACUUGUUCAUUUAACAAAGCACCGGUCUGCCUUUGGCUCACACCACAGUUGGCUGUUGGCCCCUGUUCUCUUCUUCCGAUCCUUUCACACGCAUCACCCUUAUUGCAGCAGCGAGCAGCCUCGGCUCACUGCCUGGUGGUGGUACCGGUGGUGGCUGCGUUGCUCGCUCACUUCACAGCCACCGCAGCGCCGGCGAUCGCCGUGCCGUCUUCCCCGCCGGCGUCGUCGGCGGUACGGGCGAUCAGCGACUCCUCGCGGUGGAACCAGGUCUGCUGCUUCGCGAUGAACGCCUCCACCGCCAGCCGGAACGCCUCCGCGUCGUCCAUCCCCAGCUCCACCGGCGCCGCCGCCGCCGCCGCCGCCGAACGUCGUUGCCGGCGCCUGCCGCUCUCCGACUUGGCACGCCGCAGCUCCGCCGACGCCGCCCUCGCCGUGCCGCCCGCUGCGCCGCCGCUGCCGCCGGUCUUCUCCGACAUGGCCCGCCGCGGCGGCUGGGCGCACACCGUCCUCGCGUGGUGCGCCGCCUCCUUGCCGUCGAGCGCCUCAUCCGGCGGCGCCUCCUCCUCCCCGGAGGGCUCCGCCGCCUCGGUGACCGGCGGCAGCGGCGGGCCCAGGAGCGCGAGGAACGGGUGCUGGGCCUGGGCGUCGCCGCUGGAGCCGGGAGGGUCCGCGGACGGCGGCGAGGACGAGGCUGCGUCGCGGCGGAAGAGCGUGGCGAGGGCGAUCAGGAUGACGUGCGCGGCGAGGAAGCAGAGGCGCGGCGGGGCGAGGAAGGAGGCGGCGACGCGGAGGAUGCAGGCGGCGGCCGCGGCGGCAGCCCAGGGCAAGUCGGCGAAGGCGCAGAGGAGCACGGCCAAGCCUGCAGCGACCUGCGCCGCGUGCACGAGUCCCCUCGCCACCGCCACGCGGGAGCUGGACAGCGGCGCACCCCUGCCAUCGGUGGCAGCCAUGGAUCGAAUGUCGCGGCGGCCCUUUUGGUGGCGGGGUUGGGUGGCAGUUGCAGGUACGGGGAGAUCGACGCCUGCGCCCUGCACUGCUAUUCUGCGUGAGCGCCGGCCAGUGGGUUUAGGGGACUGUAUGUGUAUGUGAGGUGGUGGCUCGCUGGUAGCCUGGUGGGGUAGCGCCGGUUCGCUUCUUCCAUCGACUUCACCCCAUCUCCGUUUGGGCUGUGGAUUCAUGACAUAGGUGCCGUUCAAGAAAAUAAAAUCGGG